GUAGAAUCUCCUAAGCUUUAACCUUUUAAGCUCUGGCGUUUCACGCAUCUUCAGAAUUGCAGUCUGACGUCUUGUUUGAUUUCCACUACAAAGCCAUGAUAAAAGGGUUAUUUACCCGUACAUAGAUUUACAGUCUAUCGCCUAUAACUCAGCCAUUUUAUCUAACGCAACGAUGAUUAUUUUCUACAAAUCAUAAAGACAUCGGAACUCUAUAUUUUAUUUUCGGAGCUUGAGCUGGAAUAGUAGGUACAGCCCUUAGUCUUAUUAUUCGUGCUGAAUUAGGUCAACCAGGAAGCCUUAUUGGAGAUGACCAAAUUUACAAUGUAGUAGUUACAGCUCACGCUUUCGUUAUAAUUUUCUUUAUAGUUAUGCCUAUUAUAAUUGGAGGUUUCGGGAAUUGGCUUGUCCCUUUAAUGUUAGGUGCUCCAGAUAUGGCAUUUCCCGAAUAAAUAAUAUAAGUUUCUGACUUUUACCCCCUUCGCUAACUUUACUUUUAUCUAGAGGUAUAGUCGAAAGAGGAGUGGGAACUGGAUGAACAGUAUACCCUCCUUUAUCAGCCAGAAUUGCUCACGCAGGUGCUUCAGUUGAUCUAGGUAUUUUUUCAUUACAUUUAGCAGGGGUCUCAUCAAUCUUAGGAGCUGUAAACUUUAUAACGACCGUUAUCAAUAUACGAUCUACAGGGAUAACUAUAGACCGAAUACCACUUUUUGUUUGAGCAGUAUUUAUUACAGCUCUACUCCUACUGUUAUCUUUACCAGUCCUAGCAGGAGCUAUUACUAUACUAUUAACAGAUCGUAAUUUAAAUACAUCCUUCUUUGAUCCAGCAGGAGGUGGUGACCCAGUCUUAUAUCAACAUUUAUUUUGAUUUUUCGGUCAUCCUGAAGUAUAUAUUUUAAUUCUUCCUGCUUUUGGGAUAAUCUCACAUAUUAUUAGUCAAGAGUCUGGUAAAAAGAAGCUUUUGGAACAUUAGGAAUAAUCUAUGCUAUACUAGCCAUUGGUGUUCUAGGAUUUGUAGUAUGAGCUCAUCAUAUAUUUACUGUAGGUAUAGACGUUGAUACUCGUGCUUACUUUACAUCUGCUACGAUAAUUAUUGCUGUCCCGACGGGUAUUAAGAUCUUCAGCUGACUAGGAACAUUACACGGUACUCAAUUGAAUUAUAGUCCUUCUUUAAUUUGGGCAUUAGGGUUUGUAUUUUUAUUUACAGUUGGGGGUCUAACAGGAGUUGUCCUUGCUAAUUCAUCUAUUGAUAUUAUCUUGCACGAUACUUAUUAUGUAGUAGCCCACUUCCACUAUGUUCUUUCAAUAGGAGCCGUAUUUGGUAUUUUUGCAGGUAUUGCCCACUGAUUUCCUCUUUUUACCGGUUUAACCCUGAACCCAAAAUGAUUAAAAAUCCACUUUCUAGUUAUAUUUAUUGGGGUAAACAUUACAUUUUUCCCUCAACAUUUUUUAGGGCUUAAUGGUAUGCCUCGACGCUAUUCAGAUUAUCCAGACGCCUACACAGCAUGAAAUGUUAUAUCAUCUAUUGGAUCUACAGUAUCAUUAAUUGCAGUACUAGGUUUUGUUAUAAUUGUAUGAGAAGCCUUAACUGUAGCUCGACCAGUUAUAUUUUCUUUAUUUUUACCUACUUCGAUUGAAUGACAGCAUAAUCUCCCACCCGCAGAUCAUAGUUAUAUAGAAAUUCCUUUAAUUACUAAUU